GUGAGUCAUCGAAUCUUUGAACGCACAUUGCGCCCGCCAGUAUUCUGGCGGGCAUGCCUGUUCGAGCGUCAUUUCAACCCUCAAGUCCCCUGUGGACUCGGUGUUGGGGACCGGCGAGACAGCCGCGGAUCUUCUUCCGCAGCGAGUCGCCGCCCCCCAAAUGACUUGGCGGCCUCGUCGCGGCCCUCCUCUGCGUAGUAUAGCACACCUCGCAACAGGAGCCCGGCGAAUGGCCACUGCCGUAAAACCCCCCAACUUUUUCAGAGUUGACCUCGAAUCAGGUAGGAAUACCCGCUGAACUUAAGCAUAUCAAUAAGCGGAGGA
rnacentral:misc_RNA from 1 species